GCGCCCGUAGCUCAGCGGAUUAGAGCACCAGGUUGCGGACUUGGGGGCCGCAGGUUCGAGUCCUGCCGGGCGCG
rnacentral:tRNA from 1 species